GCAGCUCUUGCCAAAGUUUUACUCUCAACAGAUCAGAAAGUUGGAUGAUUCCCAGUCCUUUCAGAAAAUAUCCAAGUCUGUCCAGGGAAGUCUGUUUAAUGUGAAAUGUGCUGAGCAUCUCUGCCUGUAACACCAUGUGCUCCAGUGCAAGUAGAUCGUAGAUGUGGGCGGUUGAGCACCUCGCUGUGAAGCUGUCCGCAGCCUCUGCAGCGUGGAUUCGAUCCCAGCCGGCCAUGGAGAAUCCCACAUGGUGCAGCAGACCUCUCCUGUCUCGCCCACUGCUCCGCUCAGCAGUGUAUUUCAGUCCGUCCGCCUGUUCUACUCCUUUCUCUCUCACUGGUGAAUCCUCUCACCCUCCCACGCAUCUGGCCUGUACCCCAGU